UGAGGAAUAUUGGUCAAUGGACGCAAGUCUGAACCAGCCAAGUAGCGUGCAGGAUGACGGCCCUAUGGGUUGUAAACUGCUUUUAUAUGGGGAUAAAGUGGGGAACGUGUUCCCUUUUGCAGGUACCAUAUGAAUAAGGACCGGCUAAUUCCGUGCCAGCAGCCGCGGUAAUACGGAAGGUUCGGGCGUUAUCCGGAUUUAUUGGGUUUAAAGGGAGCGUAGGCUGUUUGUUAAGCGUGUUGUGAAAUGUAGGAGCUCAACUUUUAGAUUGCAGCGCGAACUGGCAGACUUGAGUGCGCACAACGUAGGCGGAAUUCAUGGUGUAGCGGUGAAAUGCUUAGAUAUCAUGACGAACUCCGAUUGCGAAGGCAGCUUACGGGAGCGCAACUGACGCUAAAGCUCGAAGGUGCGGGUAUCGAACAGG
rnacentral:rRNA from 1 species